rnacentral:rRNA from 1 species
CCUACGGGUGGCAGCAGUGAGGAAUAUUGGUCAAUGGACGAGAGUCUGAACCAGCAAAGUAGCGUGAAGGAUGACUGCCCUAUGGGUUGUAAACUUCUUUUAUAUGGGAAUAAAAUGUUCCACGUGUGGGAUUUUGUAUGUACCAUAUGAAUAAGGAUCGGCCAACUCCGUGCCAGCAGCCGCGGUAAUACGGAGGAUCCGAGCGUUAUCCGGAUUUAUUGGGUUUAAAGGGAGCGUAGGUGGAUUGUUAAGUCAGUUGUGAAAGUUUGCGGCUCAACCGUAAAAUUGCAGUUGAAACUGGCAGUCUUGAGUACAGUAGAGGUGGGCGGAAUUCGUGGUGUAGCGGUGAAAUGCUUAGAUAUCACGAAGAACUCCGAUUGCGAAGGCAGUUCACUGGACUGCAACUGACACUGAGGCUCGAAAGUGUGGGUAUCAAACAGGAUUAGAUACCCUGGUAGUC